rnacentral:rRNA from 1 species
UACGUAGGGGGGCAAGCGUUUGUCCGGAUUUAUUGGGCGUAAAGAGCGUGUAGGCGGCCAGGUAGGUCUGCUGUGAAAACUCGAGGCUUAACCUCGAGCUGUCGGCGGAAACCAUCUGGCUAGAGUCCGGAAGAGGAGAAUGGAAUUCCCGGUGUAGCGGUGAAAUCGCAGAUAUCGGAAGGAAGACACCCGGUGGCGAAGGCGGUUCUCUGGGCGAU